GACGAACCGAGCGAACGUUGUUCGGAAUCACUGGGCUUAAAGGGCGCGUAGGCGGGUUCUCAAGUCCGGGGUGAAAUCCCACAGCUCAACUGUGGAACUGCCUCGGAUACUGGGGGUCUCGAGGGUGGCAGGGGUAUGCGGAACUAUCGGUGGAGCGGUGAAAUGCGUUGAUAUCGAUAGGAACUCCGGUGGCGAAGGCGGCAUACUGGUCCACUUCUGACGCUGAGGCGCGAAAGCCAGGGGAGCAAACGGG
rnacentral:rRNA from 2 species